rnacentral:lncRNA from 1 species
GAUUAUUUACAAAAAGGUCAAUGUAUGAUUAAAGUCAAUUCAAAAUGAAGUAUUUACAAAAAAUGAAGUUUGGAAAAAUCAUGGACUUAAGGUUCAAGUUUCUAAUUUGGAAAGAAGUGAGAAUGUUUGCACAACAUAUAUUUCAAGUUUGAAGAGUCAACAAUGUGAAAAGGAUUCUAAACAAAAAUGGACGGAUGAUGUGUA